rnacentral:rRNA from 1 species
AACGGGGAGGUCAAGUGUUUAUUCGCCAUGACUGGGCGUAAAGGGCAAGUAGACGGAUUAUUCUUUUCUUUUUGUUAAAUCUUAGUUUCUUAGACGUAAAGCAAAAAGUGGAAUUUUCUUGAGUGCGAUAGAGGAUAACAGUACUCUCAAUGAAGGGGUAAAAUAUCUGACGAUAUUGAAGGGGACUCUCGGGGGCGAAAGCGGUAUCUGGGUCGUUACUGACGUUGAGAGGCGAAAGCGUGGGGAGCAAACGGG